UAGAAAAUGAUAAAUAGCUAGUUUGAGAUAGCGAUUUGUCUGUUUAAUU
rnacentral:precursor_RNA from 1 species